UUCACGUGGUAACAGUAAACACGGAAGCGGCGCUUUCUUACGAAUGUUGCUACACGCUUGUGAAGGGCAAAUAAAAUGUAUUUCAGCGAAGGGCUUGAAUUAAAUAUUUCAGACAGACAUACGAGGUCAUUACCCGGUAUGUGCAGUCAAGGCGAAAAAUUUUAGGACCACGAUGGAAAAAGGUAUGGAGACUGUCAUACUAGGAUGGGUGACAGAUCAACUGGGGAAGGCACAUACAGUAAUCCACUUAAAGAACAAGUUGCCAGUUAAAGUACCGCGACUGGUUGGCACAGUUUUCUCUUUUUAAUCUAAAUCUGUUCCUGUGAUUGCAUACCCAAUUGGGUCUUCUGUCCGUCCGGAUGAAGUCUUAAAAUGCGAAUUUCGUCUUCGGAAUAUUGUUCUGAAAAUGAAGAACAGGACUCUGAGAUGUCCAUUUCUAGUUGGUUGAUAUUGAUUGACAGUUACUGCAGUUAUAUUUUUAAUCUCUAAUUUUGUUCCUGAUUAAUAUCUUUUAAGUUGCUCAAAAAUGUUUUUUCAGAAUGUUGUUCUGAAAAUGAAGAACAGGACUCUGACUAAUCCAUUGUUUGUUGGCUGAUAUUAUUUGACAGGUAUUAAAGUUAAAUUUUUAUAUCUUUAUUAUUUUUUCUUGAUUAUAUAAAAUACCUUUUAAGUUGCUAAAAAAUGUUAAUUCUGAACCCAACUCUCCAAAACUUUCAAGACAUCUCUUUCGUGUAUCACUGAAAAC